GACGAACGCUGGCGGCGUGCUUAACACAUGCAAGUCGAACGGAAAGGCCCUGCUUUUGUGGGGUGCUCGAGUGGCGAACGGGUGAGUAACACGUGAGUAACCUGCCCUUGACUUUGGGAUAACUUCAGGAAACUGGGGCUAAUACCGGAUAGGAGCUCCUGCUGCAUGGUGGGGGUUGGAAAGUUUCGGCGGUUGGGGAUGGACUCGCGGCUUAUCAGCUUGUUGGUGGGGUGGUGGCUUACCAAGGCUUUGACGGGUAGCCGGCCUGAGAGGGUGACCGGCCACAUUGGGACUGCGAUACGGACCAGACUCCUACGGGAGGCAGCAGUGGGGAAUAUUGCACAAUGGGCGGAAGCCUGAUGCAGCAACGCCGCGUGCGGGAUGACGGCCUUCGGGUUGUAAACCGCUUUCGCCUGUGACGAAGCGUGAGUGACGGUAAUGGGUAAAGAAGCACCGGCUAACUACGUG
rnacentral:rRNA from 1 species